UGGGGGAUAUUGCACAAUGGAGGAAACUCUGAUGCAGCGACGCCGCGUGAGUGAAGAAGUAUUUCGGUAUGUAAAGCUCUAUCAGCAGGGAAGAUAAUGACAGUACCUGACUAAGAAGCCCCGGCUAACUACGUGCCAGCAGCCGCGGUAAUACGUAGGGGGCAAGCGUUAUCCGGAUUUACUGGGUGUAAAGGGUGCGCAGGCGGCGCGCCAAGUCAGCGGCCAAAGUUCCGGGCUCAACCCGGUGUCGCCGUUGAAACUGGCGUGCUCGAGUGCGUGCGAGGAAGGCGGAAUGCGUUGUGUAGCGGUGAAAUGCAUAGAUAUGACGCAGAACUCCGAUUGCGAAGGCAGCUUUCCAGCGCGCUACUGACGCUGAGGCACGAAAGCGUGGGGAUCGAACAGGAUUAGAUACCCUGGUAGU
rnacentral:rRNA from 1 species